CUUGUAGAGAAGGUGUCUGCUUCCUUUUCACCUUCUGCCAUGAUUGUAAGUUUCCUGAGACCUCCCCAGCCAUGCGAAACUGACCCCACUGAAAAUCGGACUGUUCAACUCACCUGGCAGCCACUUCCAGAGCCCCUGGAACUCUGGCCCAAGGCUUUCUGACUGACGCCUUCCCAGAUCUUCUAGGCUUAGCAGCUGAAGACUGACACUGCCCGAUCGCCUCGGAAGCCUGCAGGACCAUCACAGAUGCUCUGGGUAACUCUCACAGUGGAGGGGAAUAAUACUCUAUGAUGGUGGCAUUUUGGAUCCAGGCACUAUUUCUUAAUGUGAAUUCAGGCCCCAAACGGCAGCCAGUUGGAUGGAGUCCAAACCCCAAAAAGAAGGGACUGGGAUUGGUAAGGACCUGAAAAAUUGUCAAGGCAGCAAACAGAUGAUUUGAAGUUACAAGAAGAGCCGCCAUCUCAUCAGGAAAAGCAGACAGCAAAUCAGGAAAUUAAAUUCUACA